ACCCGGGUUUAAACCGGGGUUUAAACCGGUUAAAACCGGGUUUUAAAACCGGGUUAAACCGGUUUAAACCGGUUAAAACCGGUUUAAAACCGGUUAAACCGGGUAAAACCCGGGUUUAAAACCGGGUUUAAAACCCCGGGUUUAAAAAAACCGGGUUUAAACCCCGGGUUUAAACGGGUUUUUAAACCGGGUUAAACCGGGGUUUAACCCGGUUUUAACCGGGUUAACCCCGGUUUAAACCGGGUUUUAAACCCGGGUUUUACCCCCGGGUUUAAACCCGGGGGUUUAAACCGGGUUUUAAACCCGG
rnacentral:ncRNA from 1 species